AAAGAAUUAGUUAAAAAAUAACAUAAAUAUGUCAAAUUUAAAUUAUUGUAUAAUACAUUAUUCUUUU
rnacentral:tRNA from 1 species